UACAGAGGGUGCGAGCGUUAAUCGGAAUUACUGGGCUUAAAGGGUUUGUAGGCGGCCAUGUAAGUCAGGUGUGAAAUCCCUCGGCUCAACCGAGGAACGGCGCUUGAUACUGCAUGGCUUGAGGGAGACAGGGGUAAGCGGAACUGAUGGUGGAGCGGUGAAAUGCGUUGAUAUCAUCAGGAACACCGGUGGCGAAAGCGGCUUACUGGGUCUCUUCUGACGCUGAGGAACGAAAGCUAGGGUAGCGAACGGG
rnacentral:rRNA from 1 species